rnacentral:rRNA from 1 species
GGACUACUCGGGUUUCUAAUCCCGUUCGCUACCCUGGCUUUCGUGUGUGAGCGUCAGGAACGCGCCAAUGCACUGCCUUCGCCUUUGGUGUUCCCCAUGAUAUCAACGGAUUUCACCCCUCCACCAUGAGUUCCGUGCAUCUCUCGCGCCCUCGAGCCAUGCCGUUUCGCUCGCAGCCCGCAGGUUAAGCCCGCAGAUUUAACGAACGACUAACAUGGCCGCCUAGACACCCUUUACGCCCAGUGAUUCCGGGUAAUGCUUGGAGCCUCUGUAUUACCGCGGCUGCUGGCAC